UACAUGAAUGCAGCUAGACUUUGUAUUAUGUUCAAAUCCAUGCAGUAGUGUUCUCUAAUAGAUUGUUUGAAAUGAAGGAUUCCCCAGAGGCAACCUGCUUACCACUGUGCAAAGAAGACCAGAGGAGGAGACUACUAUUUUUUUUUGACUUAAGCACAAAGAGCAAGAAGCCAGUAGAGUUGAGAGAUGAUGUAUCCAUUUCUGUGAGUUUCUGAUGGUGUCGUCCUGCUGUGAGGCAAAAAGUGAGAGAAGCCUUCCCUCCAGGAGAGCUGUCAGAAAUGGAAUAUUAUUACUGAGGCUGCCAGUGGCUUCCAUUAACUGGGCUGCACCUUGAGGUUUGCUAAUGAGUCUAGGAGGUGUUUGCUGACAUUGUUGAUGACUUGAAAGCAUGCUUUAAUGAUCUCUUUCCAUUGAUUGUGGAUGCUUUCCUCAUGCUCUGCUGGAACUAUGCUGUAUCCGUAUUUUUCACUUGGAAAUUUUCCUUUACCUAUUUAUAGAACGCUCAGAUACUGCUCUGGCAUCAUAUCUGCUUGAAUGCUGCUUCUUGCCAUUCUAGUAAUGUACCAAACCUCUGAUACUAUAACCAAGUCACAGGUCAAGACAAUCAUCCCUUUCAUAUCCUUGGUCAAGUGCAGGCAAGACAAUGGUAGGGACUACUUCUGGAUGAUGAAGCUGACUGCUGUAAAGGAUGAUCUACCCAAGUGUUUUGAUGAUGCGGCAACCAGAAGAAGAUAGACUUUCACAACCACGGGAUAGAAGCCAAGCACACUGCUCCCCUGGAUUCUGUGUCGGAAGGGUAAUACAAAGCCCAACCCACAUGCAAGAGGAGGGGUAUUAAUCUGCACUUUCAGAAAGCAGAACUGUCAAAGCCAUUGUGGAUGUAUUUUAAGGCUGAUGUAUUGGUGCAUUGUUUGUACUUCAAGAAAUUAAAGGGUUAAAAAAAUAAAAAAAGGUCAAAGACCUUUCAAACAGGAAAGGUUAACUUGCUGGCUGCGCAGAGAACGGAUCCACUUGAGAGGCUGAUAGCAUUCAUGUCCACGGGAAAGGCUAAGAUUUGAACUAACAGGAAAACAGAGAAUGUAGAGGACUGUCACCAGGCUCAGGGAUGGCAUUAUAGACAGAUGGCUCUAAGUUACUGCAGCUUUUUAAAAAUUGAUCAUUUUCCUGUACAACCUUUUCAUAUUAUUAAAGGCUACUGAAACUGUAAAACAAACAAACAAACAAACAAACAUGUAAAAUUAUAUUGAAAAGAGUCUGUAUGGUGGAAUAAGUUUUUAAAAGGUACAAACCUUUAUUGGUUAGAUUAUACUACAGAAGCUAGUAAUAUUGUGGGAAAAUGAGAAAUUGUAAACAUGUAGUUAUGAAAAUGAAGCAGUUACUCUCUUUAAGUAACUAAAACCAAAAACGCUACUUAUUGUAUUAUUUUUAAAUAACAGAUAAUUGAGUGUUUAGGAUCACAAAUAAAGUUAAAAAUUUAAAUAUAUGCCACCUAAGUUCCUAUGGAACUUAUAGAAAAAUAAAUUUAACUUGCAUAGCCGAAACUAAAAUAGAAUAGAAAUGUAAAACAAAACAAAAACUUCUUUUGUUUUCAGGGACAGAAUCUUGUGGUUUGUGAAGUGCUGGUGAUCUCUUGCUUCAGUGUACUGCUUUCUGGGAUUCCACAUGUGUGCUACUAUACCCAGCUCAGAAAGUUUUGAAAUAAAAUAAUACACGGCAGAAAGACAAUAGUAUACAAUGAAAAAUGUGUCACUUACACUUAAUUGAUUUUCAAAUUAAAUAUGAAAAGUAAUAUGAAGUGAGAAUAUUUUAUAAAAUUUGAUUUAGUUCUAAAACAAAGUGCAGCCUGAUCAUUUUGUAUGACCUUUGGUACUUCCUGUUCAUUUUUAAAAAUUAAUUAAUUAAUAUCCCAAAUGCUGCCCCUCUCCCCCAUCCACUGCUCAGAGUUCCUCAUCUCUUCUCUGGAGUGUUGGCCCACUCUCUAUGUUUUCCCCCACCCUGGCACAUCAAGGGUCUGCAGGGUUGGUGUAUCCUCUCUCACUGUGGCCGGACAAGCCAGCCCUGGUCCGCACAUGUAUGUUCUGUAGUUGAUGGCUCAGUCUCUGAGAGCUGCCAAGAGUCCAGAUUAGUUGACUCUGUUGGUUUUCCCGUGGAGUUCCUAGCCCCUUCAGGACCUUUACUCUUUCCCCCAAGUCUUUCAUAAGAGUCCCCGACUUCCAUCCAAAGUUUGGCUGAGGGUAUCUGCAUCUGUUUCAGUGACCUGCUGAGUGGAGUCUUUCGGAAGACAGUUAUGCUAGGUUACUGUCUGAAGUACAACAGAGUAUCAUUAGUGUCAGAGAUGGAUGCUUGCCCAUGGGAUCUGUUUGAGGUCAGGUUUGUCACUGGUCAGCCAUUUCUUCAGUUAUCUACUCCAUUUUUGACCCUACCUUGCUUUUAGACAAGACAAAUUGGGGGUCAAAAGUUUUGUGUGUUAGUGUCCCCAUUCCUCCACUGGGGGUCCUGCCUGGCUACAGAAGGUAAUCUCUUAUGGUUGCAUGUCCCCACUGUUAGGGGACAUGAAAUUAGGUCACUCGAAUUAACGAAUUAACUUCUGGGAUCCCUCCCCUUUCUCAGGUCUGGGAUUUUCCUAGAGAUUCUGUCUAUACCGCCCACGCCCACUCCUCAGCAGGUACAGGUUUCCAUUCAUUCUCCUGUCUCGCUGGCUCUCUCCCCUGUUUCUCCUCACACCUGAUUCUGAACCCUCAACCUCUCUUCCACCCAGUUUCCUUUCUUCCUUUGCCUCCUCUUGUCUGUGUACUGGAGGGAAUUGUGGAGACCUCUGGCAUGAGCAGAAAGGGCAUGACCGAGGGUGGGGGGGGUGCCACCACUGCUGCUGCUUUGGUGCCAUUUACCAGGCAGCUACUG
rnacentral:sRNA from 1 species